CUUACUAAUCACACGGUUUGACUGUUGAAACAGAACAAAGUUCACAUUGUCAACAGCAGUGCUGUUUCUCCCAAUCAAAGUGAGUCGGGAACAGAGAAACACAGGAAGCAAACACACUAAAAAGAAGAAACACAGAACUGGACUUCAGUGCUCAUUUUCUCACUGUGGAAAUAAAAACAUGAGAUUUAUUUUUCCUGCAUAACCUCAGCAGCGUCAGUGGCAACCGACUGAUUUCUUUAAAGGACAGCUUAACAUCAGGAAGGACAAAACUCAUUAAUAUCUGGAGAACAUCUGUAGGUCAUUUCCACCUAAAGGCCUUCAAACCUGCAUUUCUGGGGCCUAAAAACCGACUAACAUGGCUGUGCUGACUUCCCCCUGGGCUGAUCUGGCUCUGUUCCUGCAGGGGAGCAUCACGAUGUCAAACAGUGAUGCAGGCAGCUUUUUUCCAGUGUGGCUGUUUGGACUGAUGCUCUUCUUGUCUGUCUCUCUCCUCCUGCUAGCACUGAUCAUCCUCCUCAGUUGGAAACUCAGACAGGCUGACGCUGAUCUGUUGAAGCUAGCGCAGGACAGAAGCUCCACCAGCGCCACCCACAGGCAUGUGCACAGAGGACGGCACAGAAGAAAUGCUGGAUCUCAUUUCUGCACCUGACAGUCAUGAACAGACACAUUUUAACACAAAUGAAGGAACACACUCUGUAUAUGACAUGUGCUCUCUCCUGAGGGGCCAUAUCAUGCUGGACAUUGAAGAGUGUAAGGAAAUAAUAAGCUAACAACCCAUGAACACCAACGUCGUCUGCCUCACCCGACUGACAUGAAUUGAAAAGCAUAAUUUACACAUGGAUUUAACUUUUAGGUAUUAUGUCUAAUAAAUAUGCUGCACACAUUUUCAAUCACACUUCCAAGGAAAUGAAUGAGGAAAUGAAGCGAGUAUAACAAUCCUUUAUUUAAACAGUGUUACACAGGGGGGGAGGAGUGGCUGUGUGGGGGGAGAUACAAGACAUUUAAGCUGCUAGACAGAAAAACCCUACUGGUGAUCACUGGUUAGCUAACAGAGAGCAAUGAGGCAGCUGGUAGGUUUUCCAAAAUGAGUUUCUUUAAGGUUUCCAUUGUAUGUGUGAGUUUUAUUUUAUUAAUAAAAUAUAAAAACUGUGCUGGUUUCCCGUUUCUCCAGAGUGUGAAACAAAGCCUGAGAUUUAAGUGUUCAGAGGAUCCUCCAAUUAUAAUCUGCUAUAACACCAUGUGGAUUUAAUGCUCUCUGAUGUGGAUUCACAGGCGUAGAGGUUGGUAAAACUUUUCUUGGUGUAACCUAGCGUAACAUGACGCAUUUGGGAAAAUCCGAUUCCGCAGCCUCAAAGCUCAUGUGAUUGGUUAAGAGAGCCCAGAAGAACCCGGAAAAGCGGUUAAAGCUGGGGCUAAACGUACAAAAAGGAAAACAGUGGCAGAAAUUUUCAUUUGUAGUGGUUUUCAAAAAAAAACAACAACACUGCAACAAUUUUACAAAUAUGCAAGAUGGAGGGGGAACAAGAAAUCCCACCUUUAAACAACUAGAUUACAGAGAAAAAACGAGAAAUUAUGAAAAAGAAAAAUCUACAAAUGUGGUCACUGUGAUAUUACCAAAGGCUUUUUUUCUGUUUGUUUGUUUUUUUGGAACAUCAAAAGCUUCCAAAGCUGCCUAGUGUUGCACGGUUUACAUUUUUAUAAAGAAAAAAAAAAAUGCUUUUCUGCUGCUUUGUCUCUUUACAAGAGGGUUCGAGGUUAAAGCUUCCCCCUCGUGGAAUGUCAUUUAACUGCAUAGUAGAGCUCAGACCUGCGUUUCCCGAUUUUAAAAAAGCUUCAGCUCUCAGUCUGAUGAGCACGCUUAACUACAAAAGUUUUAAAAUGGGUCAAAUUGGGCAGUGAUUACUCAUCAAGUUAAAAAGCUGAUUAGCAGUUUUUUCCUUUUUUAUUUCUAAAAAUGAAAUAAAAUAUCCUUUUGUCUCCCAUUUAAAACACGUCCAGUCAAAGAUUGGAGACGUAGAUUAAUCCAGACCAGUCUAAGGUGGAAUGUUUGUAAUAAUAAAUCAGUGGCACUUCUUCACUUACAAUCAGCUAAAUUUCAGGAGAACAUGACUUUGCCUUUUUGCUGCUUAUGCUAAAAAUCUGUGUCAAAGUAAAUGCAUUAGACCAAGCACCUAGCACAUUUAAUGCCCCCAAUAUUUACACAAAGCUACAAUUUAGUUCACUUUCUUUUUUUUUUUUUU